rnacentral:lncRNA from 1 species
AUUGCUUGUAGUCAACACACCGAUAUACCAAUCAUCAAGUUUUAAUUUUUCACAGCUUGUAGUCAACACACCGAUUCAAAUAACAGCCAAACUCAGUUUAUUACAAUAUUCCACACAAUCACAAUAUACACCAUACAUUAUUUCACCAAUCACAAUAUAGCACUCUAUAUCAGGGGCCAGCCAAGCCUACUACCAUGCAUGAGGCCACAACCAGCCCAAUAGCAUCAGCACCGUUGGAGCCCUGACCAACGUCCAAGCUUUAUCAAGCUCCCUGCAAAUUGCAUUUAGUGGCAAAGCAUCAAUAGAUGAAGUUGGAAAAUGAAUAUCUUAGGGGAAGCUACACUUGGCAUAUACACUGGUAGAGUUGGGUUUAAGUAACCAAGUCAUGUUUAAAAGAGUUAACUGAAGGAGUACAAUUAGCGUGUAACCUGGAAAACAUAUAGCUAGAGGCCUAGAGUAUCAACAGCAGCAAUACAUCUAGAGGCCUAGAGCAUUAGAGCAUCAACAGCAGCAGUAUAGCUAAAGGCCUAGAGCAUCAACAGCAGUAGUACAGCUAGAGGCCUAGCGCUUUUCUUCCCGCACAUGACCAAGGCUAGGCGCUGAGCCAACGCCUCUUGCUUCAGCGUGCAUAAUCGGCCUAUUAAGCGCGCCUUCUUGUACUUUGGCGACACAUGCUUGCAUAAACUCAUGGAAGGAAGGUGACAGCAUUUCAGAGUAAUCCAAUUCAAAAUCAGAAGGUGUGCUUUAUACUCAAUAUUAACAGGGAUGCGUGUACCUCUAUGCUUUGGCAUCUCAGUCGGAGGGGGCAAAAAA